AGAGUUUGAUCCUGGCUCAGGACGAACGCUGGCGGCGUGCCUAAUACAUGCAAGUCGAGCGGACAGAUGGGAGCUUGCUCCCUGAUGUUAGCGGCGGACGGGUGAGUAACACGUGGGUAACCUGCCUGUAAGACUGGGAUAACUCCGGGAAACCGGGGCUAAUACCGGAUGCUUGUUUGAACCGCAUGGUUCAAACAUAAAAGGUGGCUUCGGCUACCACUUACAGAUGGACCCGCGGCGCAUUAGCUAGUUGGUGAGGUAAUGGCUCACCAAGGCAACGAUGCGUAGCCGACCUGAGAGGGUGAUCGGCCACACUGGGACUGAGACACGGCCCAGACUCCUACGGGAGGCAGCAGUAGGGAAUCUUCCGCAAUGGACGAAAGUCUGACGGAGCAACGCCGCGUGAGUGAUGAAGGUUUUCGGAUCGUAAAGCUCUGUUGUUAGGGAAGAACAAGUGCCGUUCGAAUAGGGCGGCACCUUGACGGUACCUAACCAGAAAGCCACGGCUAACUACGUGCCAGCAGCCGCGGUAAUACGUAGGUGGCAAGCGUUGUCCGGAAUUAUUGGGCGUAAAGGGCUCGCAGGCGGUUUCUUAAGUCUGAUGUGAAAGCCCCCGGCUCAACCGGGGAGGGUCAUUGGAAACUGGGGAACUUGAGUGCAGAAGAGGAGAGUGGAAUUCCACGUGUAGCGGUGAAAUGCGUAGAGAUGUGGAGGAACACCAGUGGCGAAGGCGACUCUCUGGUCUGUAACUGACGCUGAGGAGCGAAAGCGUGGGGAGCGAACAGGAUUAGAUACCCUGGUAGUCCACGCCGUAAACGAUGAGUGCUAAGUG
rnacentral:rRNA from 1 species